rnacentral:rRNA from 1 species
CAAUAGCGUAUAUUAAAGUUGUUGCAGUUAAAAAGCUCGUAGUUGGAUUUAGAGUUCACUUUAGUACGGUCUGCCGGAACGGUGUGUACUGUCUUUAGUAGAAUUUUUUAUCGUUAGAUAGUCCUCUUCUGCUCUUAAUUGAGUGGGGGAUGCGGCUUCUGACCUUUUACUUUGAAAAAAUUAGAGUGUUCAAAGCAGGCAGCUUCGCCUUGAAUACAUUAGCAUGGGAUAAUAGAAUAGGACUUUGCUUCUAUUUUGUUGGUUUCUAGUUGUAAAGUAAUGAUUAAUAGGGAUAGUUGGGGGCGUUUAUAUUUAAUUGUCAGAGGUGAAAUUCUUGGAUUUCUUAAAGAUAAACUGCUGCGAAAGCGUUCGCCAAGGAUGUUUUCAUUAA